rnacentral:lncRNA from 1 species
UGGUGUAUUUAGACAUAAUUGAUACUAAAAUGAUGUUUUCCUUUUAUAGGCAGCAGAUGUAAUAUAAUUAAUUGAAAAAUAUUAAAAUUUAGAUAAUUGUAUUGAAGAAUUUUAUCUCUCAACAAUCUCUCCCGAGCAUAAAUAUCUUCAAUUUGUGGCUAUUACUUUUGUUUGAUUAGAUGGGAGAAUCGAUUCUGUUUGAUUAGAUGGUAGGAUUCUUUGAAAUAAACAGAUUUGGACAUUGUUGGAAAAUAUCUUAUGAUCAUCAAAGUGUUUGACAAUAUUUCAUUAUAUUCCAUAGAAAAUAUUUUGGGUUCAUAGCCUCUUUCAACACUCAAAAGCAGCCUCCUUUCUUACACUGAUUUCCUACGAAGCAACAGCCUUAAAAGCUACUGUUAAGCAAGAUAAAUCGUUUUCACUUUGCAAGAAUUAUCUCCAUCUCCAGUUGAAGCCAUGGCAUGGGCAGCACAUGAGAAAAGGAGUGCCCAAAAGGAGAAGCUUCAUUCUAAACCCCAACGUGACCAUGAAAUCAGUACUUUUGAUACAGCCUUUUUUCUGACAGUUCUUUUUAGAUUUUUUAGAGGGACUGGAAGGUGAGAUACUCAAGGAGGAAGGAUCACGGGAGGAUAAUGACAGGGAGAGGGAAUUUUCACGAGAAGGGAGUAGUGAAGAUGAUAUUGGCAAAAUGCAUAGCAUGAUACACAUCCAAAUAUUGCAUAUUAGAACGUAUUGAUCAAACACAAAGGAAAAGGUCUGAGGAAUGGUGUGAUGUAGGGAGGGAAGAAGGCGACCAUACGGGGAAGAAGGCAGCGUCGGUAGAUGCGUCGCUUUCCGACACAAUUACACACAGGCAAGGGCACAGCGUAGGCCAUAGGCCGUAGCCCAUAGCCCAUAGGCCUCCACCAUAUACCUCCGGUUGCUGCAGUCUCAGGUCGCCAUCAUUAUCCCUCUCUGCAAAGACUGCAACCCUCAUCUCAGCCCCACCCCCCCAACACUUGUCUUAAUUGCUGUCGGCGAUAGCUGGGGACAUUCCGAAGACCCGGACAGCGACAACGCCCAUUCCCUCUCCUACGACGUCGUAUCUCAUUCCCAUUCUCGUGCCCCCCACCGUUUUUCUAUUCUCGCAACCCGACAUUUACUAGCGAGCCAAUGGAAAAAAUACCGUUUACCGAGCCCGUGAUACUGUGAAAAGGACGUUUCAGGUGGAGGGACGAGUGGGACUGCCACUGGUCAUCGCUCUAUUUGCCAUCCCUUUGGGUGUGGGCAUCUCUGGAUUUUAUUCUUACGUUUACCACCCAAAAGAGUAUGAUAUGUAUACGUCUUCCCCGCACUUUGCCCCAAAUUCAUUCCCAUUUUCUCUAUUCCUUGCGUGACAACAAAUCUUUUCUUGUCAUCCAAGUACCUUUGUGGAGUUUUCUUCUUCCAAAAGAAAAUUACUCAAUAUU